rnacentral:rRNA from 1 species
UACAGAGGGUGCAAGCGUUAAUCGGAAUUACUGGGCGUAAAGCGAGCGUAGUCGGUUAUUUAAGUCGGGUGUGAAAGCCCCGGGCUCAACCUGGGAAUUGCAUUGGAUACUGGCAGGCUAGAGUGCGGUAGAGGAUGGCGGAAUUCCCGGUGUAGCAGUGAAAUGCGUAGAGAUCGGGAGGAACAUCUGUGGCGGAAGGCGGCCAUCUGGACCAGCACUGACACUGAGGCACGAAAGCGUGGGGAG